rnacentral:lncRNA from 1 species
GAACUUUGCUCUCACGUUUCUCUUUUUCUUUUUUUCCAUCAUUGGUGUUACUUCGGCCCUGGUGCCAAGCCCCUCCCAUAACUAGGCAGCCAGUCCAUUUUGACAUCGCGAACACCAAUAACCAGAGAGAUUUUCCAACUUGAGCUUUUCAUGUUAAAUAGAAAUCUGUUAAAACGAGAGCAGUAUGCUACUACUGGAGAAUGGUUAUGAAUAGAUCAGACUAUGGAUAGAGGCAUAGAGCAUUUCAAUGUAUAAAAGAACAUGACCACAAUAAAUUGGAAAUAUGCUAAAUUCCUGGCCUGCAAAAGCAUUAGGACACAAGGUUUUAGUUUAAAUGCAUUCAUUUUUAGUUAAGGAUUGAAAUUACUCUUUCAUUUUGCAGGCACUGCAUUGUAGUCCAUAUAAAGAUUAGACGACAAGUGCAGAAGCCUGGGUUGAACAUUGGCCUUGAACAGUUCAACCAAGGAAAUGUAGAGCUCAUCAUUCUGUGCAUGACAACUACGGAAUGUAUAUUGCAACACACUAGCUAGCUACCACAUUAGCGUCCGUAUAAUUAACCACCGAUGCUAAUGAAUUACGAUUCUUGAAUGUAACUGAACUGUUAACCUUUGUUCUCCUCUUUUAUCCAUUGCACUUUGGAGUAUUUGCUUCAUUUCAAACGUAUAGUUUAUUUCUUCUCUUCAUUUUACACCUUGGCCGAUUAUGUUUGCUUCUCUCGUCUCUUAUGGAGUGCCAAGUUUGAACAUCAGCUGUGUUUGCUUCGUAUAGAAGAUUUUUCUUAAAAAGUUACGUUGAAUUUGCUUUUUCAAAAAGUUCUUUUAAAUCACUUUCAAAAAAUAUUCUAGCAUAUUUAUUUAAUGCCCG